ensembl:lncRNA
ACUUCAACAACAAUUCACAAGUAUAAACAACUCUGAAGUAGACCACAGAGCCUAGAGAUGUCAUUAUUUUCAGGAAAUAAUUAACAGAUUACACCUAGCCCCCACAUAUGAUUUCUACAAUUUGGAUUUCCAACAGCUAACUCAAAAUUAAGAUGAGGAAAAAAAGCUUGAAGUAUGGAAGGAUCUCGUCAACAAAUGGUCUUUGCUGAGGUUUCGUCGGGGAGCAAUUGGAAUUUUUUCAUUGGAAUAGCCACCACCCUCCCGCCCCCAAAGAAAAGUCACAGGCCCAAGUUUACAUGAAUCACUGUCCAGGAAAAGUGAGAUUACUUUGACUGCUUGAUGUCUCAUGAUUUCAGCCUUGGGCAAUUUUACCUAAGAUAUGACUAAGUUAGAAAACUUGAGCAAGGAAGAAAGUGAGGUAAAAGGAGAAUGACUUUUGGUUAUUAGCAACACAUUUUUGCACCAGACCCAGAAUUCUUAAUUCCGCCUUUCUCCUUUUGCGAGAAAAAUAAUAUCCUCUUUACCAAAUCCAACUUGGGAUCAAUAUUUUAUUACUGGGUGUCCAAUAUAUUCUUAAGUGAUGAACCACCCUAACUAUACCAUUUUCUUUGUUAUACUGUCUUCAUGUUCCUGGUUCUGUUUUUCUUUUUCAAAUAGGUGUAUGUCAGAUUACAUUACUUGAUAUAUAUUGCUCCUUUAUUCAUUGUAUGUUUCUCUAACUAGAUUCAAGAUCCAAACAGAAAGAAUCUUGGUCAGAUUCUUCCAUUGCUAUACUGUCAACUCUCAAAAUAAUGCUAGCACAGAGAUGAAUAUUCGCUAAAAAUAUGUUGAGUUCUUUCACUGGGAAACCAUGUGAUAUAUUGUCAGGUGGAUAAAAAAAGCUGCAAAUCCAGAAGCAGGCAAGUCAUCAUUAGCCAAGUGAGUUGUGCUACCUGGCAAUCAGUGUCACUAUUCCUUUAGGACAGGCUGGGCUUUCUAGCACCCUACAGUUCUUAAAUAGUCCUUUUGUCUUGUAAUUGACUUCUUUACACAUUUACAAUAAAUGACAAACUUUAAGACUUUAUAAGUUUCGAUUAUUUUCCUCACAGGUAUACAUAUAUGGUCCAAUUUUUGCCUCUAGGUGAAGUCUAUAAAGAAGAAGAAGGUGCAUUUACUUUUCAAUUUUCCCAGUUUGCAUUUAUUGUUUGAACUAUUUAACUGUGUAUGCAUUAC